GACAGCAGACACAUGAGGUACAGGUAGUUCAGGGCCGUCUGGCUGCUGUCUAUAGAACAGUAAUAACACAGUGUUUCUCAAUCAGACAGCAGACACAUGAGGUACAGGUAGUUCAGGGCCGUCUGGCUGCUGUCUAUAGAACAGUAAUAACACAGUGUUUCUCAAUCAGACAGCAGACACAUGAGGUACAGGUAGUUCAGGGCCGUCUGGCUGCUGUCUAUAGAACAGUAAUAACACAGUGUUUCUCAAUCAGACAGCAGACACAUGAGGUACAGGUAGUUCAGGGCCGUCUGGCUGCUGUCUAUAGAACAGUAAUAACACAGUGUUUCUCAAUCAGACAGCAGACACAUGAGGUACAGGUAGUUCAGGGCCGUCUGGCUGCUGUCUAUAGAACAGUAAUAACACAGUGUUUCUCAAUCAGACAGCAGACACAUGAGGUACAGGUAGUUCAGGGCCGUCUGGCUGCUGUCUAUAGAACAGUAAUAACACAGUGUUUCUCAAUCAGACAGCAGACACAUGAGGUACAGGUAGUUCAGGGCCGUCUGGCUGCUGUCUAUAGAACAGUAAUAACACAGUGUUUCUCAAUCAGACAGCAGACACAUGAGGUACAGGUAGUUCAGGGCCGUCUGGCUGCUGUCUAUAGAACAGUAAUAACACAGUGUUUCCUGGUUCUGAGGGUCAACAUGUUUAUGUUUUAAUCAUUAACACUAUUCAGUUGAAUCCCGCUGAUCAACACAUCGUUAAACCUUUCAUUAGUGGAAUCAGGUGUUACUCAGAACCAUGUGGUGUAUAUUAACCUGUACAGGGUUAAUUGUUAUGUAUAUAGUAGUAUAGGAUAGUACAGGAUACUCAGAACCAUGUAUAGAGUAGUAUAGGAUAUUAUAGGAUACUCAGAACCAUGUGGUAUAAGG